UCACUAACUGGGAUCAAGCGUUUAACUG
rnacentral:piRNA from 1 species